AGCAGGCUCCAGGCUCCGAGCUGUCAGCACAGAGAGCCUGACGCGGGGCUCGAACCCACGAACCGUGAGAUCGUGACCUGAGCCGAAGUUGGAUGCUUCACCGACCGAGCCACCCAGGUGCCCCCUAACGUUUCUAAUUUGAUUGCCAUUUCAUUUGUGCCCUAUGUAAUUGCUGACCUCUUGCAUUAGUAAACACCGACGACCAGCCUUUCACAGAGCUUUUAAACGGAAAAAUAUCAAGCCUUGUCGUCCAGACCAUGACAUCAGGUUGAGGGCGAGGACAGAUGAGUCGUGAGCCCCGCAGAGCAGGGCCGAACAGCAGCUGUUUCUCAAGCCGCCCUUCACAGCCCGCUGAGGCCUCGGGCACAGGGCCCCCCGGACCUGUGCCGCUAACUGUGCGCCCGCCCCCCCCAAAACACAGCCAACAGCCUCGGCAGGAAGCUCCUUUCAUAGUCAGGUGCGCGGGCCGUCCAGGUCUUCCCGGCGGAGUUCAAGCCCAGCGCCCUCCCCCGUGGAAACAGCAGGUGACGGCACCCCGCGCGCUUGUUAGGACAGCCACGUGGCUGAGCUCACGUCCCGGAACACAACGUCCAGGCUCAAAUUCCCGCCACCCGUCUGACACCACACGGUGAUAGAGUUUUUUCAAGUCUCGGUUUCCUUGUCUUUAAACUGGGGAUAGAGAUUCCUCCAUGAACUUGCUGGAUCUGUGACAACAGAUAGGGACAGACGUCGAGAGUGCUUAGCACAGAGUACCCGACACGCGGUGCAAAUGUCGGCUGUUGUUUUAUGUUUGAUUGGACGGCUCCCCUCGCGGGACUCGGUCCCCCAAGCGGGCUGCGCUCGUCCUUCGGCCCGCAAACCCUGCUGGGCUCUGGGUGGUGGCUCCCCCAGAACACAGCCAAUCACACAGCCAAUCACUGGGUAUCCUCUGCCAAGGGGACACCCCACGCUGACCUGAUCCCCCUUGGAACAUGUCCCUGCACCCAGAGAUCAGAGGCUAAGCUGCUUCCCCCCCACAGUAACUCAGAGUGGCAGGGGUGAACUGCAACACACGGGCGUGGUUGUCCCCGAGAGUGACUCACCUCCCUAAAACUCCAAGGCGGGCAGCCACAGGGGCCCCGCAGUUCCCAGCUGCGGGACUCCUCUGGACGCACAGGGCCGGCCUGUGGGUUCUGCAAGGGCUCGGGAAGGGGGUCGCCAUCACCGGGCUCCCCGCCCACCCUUCCACCCCCAUAAACAGAGGAAAGGGGUGUCCCUCGGGACAGGAGCCAGUCUCCUGUGGAGAAGCCGAAGGACCCUGAGCAAGCCACGGGGUCUGCUGUCCUCGCUGCAAAAUGAGCAGGUUGUCUCGGGGGCCGCAGGCCUCCUGUGCAGGGUGGCACGCAUCAGACAACGGGGGACCCCCAGCCUUCAGUGCAUUGACGGGCCUCCCGGGGACAGGGCUGGGGGCAGGGCAGGUUCUGGAUACCUGACACUGGGAAGCUGCUCCUGUGACAUCGGGGCAAUAAAUCACUAAACAUUUUUGUUUUGUUUUAAUUUUUUUAAUGUCUAUUUAUUUUUGAGAGAGAGAGCAGAGCGGGGGGCUCGAACUCACGGACCGUGAGAUCAUGACCUGAGCCGAAGUCGGAUGCCCGACCAACUGAGCCACCCAGGCGCCCCAAAACAUUCCUAAACGAAGCCAACAAAACCCAAAGUUUGGCUUUUGCCGGAAGAUUGACAAGACUUCUAUUUUCUGUAGGGAUGAUUUUAUAAAACUAGUUGAAAUAGAAAGAGAUCAAAUGUUAUGCAGGCAGCACAGGAUCCUGAGUCAAGGACACACGGGGACACAGAGAAGUCCCCAGGAGAAACCUGGCUUCCUUGCCUUUCUGUCCUGCCGUGUGCCAGGCCCCGAGGGCAUCCUGCCGGGGAGACAAGCCCCGCAGGGUGAAAAGUGCCCAAAGACAGCAAAUGCCAGCCGCCGUGCCCAGAAUCCUGACACUGGCAUUGUGCCACACAGCGUGCGCCCGAGGUGCCCUCGCCGAGGACUCAGGACGGAGUCACGGUGCCCCUGCUUUGGAAACAAAGACACGAGACCCACCCUCUGCCUGGAGAGCCGACUCCCCUCAGGGAAUCUUUCAGGUCAAGUUCAAACAUCACCCCCUCUGAUCUGAAGUGAAGACCCCCCUUUGGGCUGUGACCCUCGGCCUCAAGUGUGAGUUGUGCUCAGACACAGGAAGCUUCAGCAGCCAGGAGCCCGUCUCCUCCCCCUCCUCCUCCUCCUCCUCCCAGUUUGAGGGCAGGGACCCCCCCCAUUCGCCACCCCUUCUCCGUCCGGGUAGAGCAGGCGGUGGGCGCUCAGUGGACACCCACAGUGAGGACAGCAAGUCCCGCUCGGCUCCCAUGCUUGUGCACUGUCUGGGGGCCCAACAGGCCCUCGCGGCUGUAGGGACGGGGGGCCUCUGCACCCACCCGCCCCCUCCACCCGCAGCAAAAGCAAAGCCAGGGCGUCUAGAAUAUCAGGGUGUUCGGUCACCCAGCCCGGCGCCCCCUCCUGGAAGCCUGCUGAGCACAGACUGGGGAAGGAGGGGUGGAAACACCAAAGUCAUUUCUCCCCCACUUGCUAGUGAGGCCCCGGGCCUCCCUCUGCCUUGCUUCGUAGUCUAACGCUCUUUGUUCCGGAAGCAGGCCCGUGCGGUGGCCCGAGCGGGGACUAGCGUCGCUGACGGAGAGCUCAGUGAGCUCAGGGCCUGAGAAGGCUCGGGCGCCGAAAGAGAGACAGAGAUGGCCACUCUGCGUGCCCGUCCCCUCUGCUUCGAGGCAGGGAGGGGUCCCAGAGCGAGCGCCUGCCCCGAGGAGGUCCUGCACUCCGUGCCUCGGGGACUUGGUGGCACAGCGGACAUCUCCGAGAUCCGAAGGGACUCCCCUGGCCCACGGGCGGCUCCGCGAGGCUGGGGAAGAAGUCAGGAGCAUCAGGAAGCCUUGGCACGGAGGCCCCAGGGUCCCAACAGCCCCGGGGCAGGAAGGGGAGGCCAGGGCACGGCCCCUCCAGAACAGCCCCGAAUGGUCUGUUGUCUCGGCUGGGCCUCCGCGGGACCUCACACCCCACCGCACGAUGCCAAGGUCACGAGGCGGCCCCCCUCUGCGGCACCGGGCAGGCGCGUUACGUUUGGCCCACACGACGGCUUGAAGCGGAAUUUUGUUUUAAUUUUUAAAAAUCGGCCGUUGGCAGAGUUUACAUAAAAUUCAGCAUUUCUGCUCUUGCACGGUUCUCCGAGCUGGCGACGCGGUGCCUCUCUUUCUGCUUGGCCACGCGCAGCUGGAGCUCUGCUGGCGCUGCCCCCUUCCGACCGGAAGGUCAAGGCCGUUGGAUCUGUGGCCACCGAGCCGCGGCUUCCACCUGCCCAGCCCUCAGACUGCUCUCAGCCUCCUCGCUCAGGAAGGAGGUCGUGCACAGUGCAUUUGCCCACCUCCCUUGACCACCACCCGGACCGAUCCGGUGGGCUUGGCCAGCGAGGCCGCCCUGGGAGCCGCUGUGGCCGGUGAACGCGAAGUCAGACAUCUUCGAGGGAUGCCACCAAGGCAGGCUACCGGCCAGGGGGGCCCCGCACCUGCCCGCCGCCACGGUGGCGAGCACUCUGGAAUGCUCUCCCAAGCCCCGAAGGCCAGGCGUGCGCAGCGGGGUGGGUGGUGAGGGCUGGGGCAGGUGGAGCCCAGUGGCGGCAGCCAAUGCCCGGGACCAAAGGCUAGCGCUCCGCUGUCGGGCUGGGCGGGAAGGGACGGGUUAGGAGAAUCCAGACUAUUCGGCUUUAUCAUCGCCCUUCCUUUCCCACAAAAUUGCAGGUGCAAAAGCGUCUCUCUCCUUGCCCCUCACGCAUAGAGAAUGCCUCCGACGGAGCGCCUGGAAGGCACGGUCCAGGCGUCGGACACUGGCCGUCCCAAACUGCGCUUGGCUCAGCAGUCACCGGUGGGGAGGCCUGGUGGCUUUCUGUUCCUCCUCACGUAACGCCUCAGAGACCCCACCUCUCGGGGUGGGUUGUAUAGACGGUGCCGUGAAUGUGGAGGGGCGUCUCUGUGCAUGUGGGUACAGCGGCGGGUCCGUGGGCACGGCAGCGGGUCCGUGGGCACGGUGGCAGGUCCGUGGGCACGGUGGUGGGUCUGUGGGCACACAAUGGGUCUGGUCUGUGGGCACAGCGGCGGGUCUGUGGGCACAGCGGCGGGCCCGUGGGCACAACAGUGGGUCUGGUCUGUGGGCACAGCGGCAGGUCUGUGGGCACAACAGUGGGUCUGUGGGCACAGCGGCGGGUCCGUGGGCACGGUGGCGGGUCUGUGGGCACAGCAGUGGGUCUGUGGGCACAAUAGUGGGUCUGGUCUGUGGGCACAGCAGUGGGUCUGUGGGCACAGUGGUGGGUCUGUGGGCACAACGGUGGGUCUGUGGGCACAGUGGCGGGUCCGUGGGCACAGCGGCGGGUCCGUGGGCACAGUGGCGGGUCUGUGGGCACAGUGGUGGGUCUGUGGGCACAGCAGUGGGUCUGGUCUGUGGGCACAGCAGUGGGUCUGUGGGCACAACAGUGGGUCUGGUCUGUGGGCACAACAGUGGGUCUGGUCUGUGGGCACAGCGGGGGGUCCGUGGGCACGGUGGCGGGUCCGUGGGCACAACGGUAGGUCCGCCGGCCUGCAGUGCUCCGCGCCGUCUGGGGACAGGGAAGGAGCCGGGCUCUGGGGGCGUCCACCGCUGUGCACCGGGCCCAGCCAUCUCUGCCCAAGGUGCCUCUAUGCUGACACUGGCACUCGGACGCUGGCCGGCGUCCCGUCCUAGUCACCGAGGGUGUGGGCGACGGGAGGGGCCGUCCAGCCCGCAGCUACUAACUGCCCUUCCCUCUUUAGAGUCCUUGAAAGCGUUGGCUUCUUUUCCGCUCAACUUAAGGCCAUCUUCUUGUACCCUGCUAACGCCUUCUCUCCUCCGAUCCCAGCAAGCAAGACUCAAAUGAACAGACGAGGCCUGAGAAUAUGUGCAAAGGUCCUGUGCUCAGGACAGAGUGAAGGAAGUGAAGGGUGUGUCAAAAGCACAGAUGCUACAACCGUCCUUUCAUUGAUCCUGAUAAGCGCGACCCUAAGGAAGGGCGGCCGCACAGGGUUGACGGUGGGAGGCGGGGCCAGCAGGUGCCACCUGCCAGACGACCGUCCUCGGGGAAGACGCAGCGGUGUCCCUUCGGAGCCGGCGCGGAGCGACGCGGGCAGCGCCUCACAGUUCUGGCGUCGGGCAGACCGGAUCGCGCCGGCCCGCGGCCAGAGCCAGGCUGCCCCAGGGAUGCAAACCGCGUUCCUACCAGCUUCCCCGGUGCCGGUGCUGCUGCUGGUCUGGGAGCCCCGCGGGCCGGAUCCACCGUGCAGAGAAGGGCCCCUCCACCUCCACAGACACCGCCCCAUCUGUAUUCUAGAAGCUUCCAUGGAGGGGGACAGAGGGUAAGGGGGAGAGCAGGGUUUUGAAUGCCGGCCCAAAUCCUAUUAACCGGCAAUGCAGCUUGAGCAAUUUACUUAACCUCUCUGUGCCUCGGUUUCCUCAUGGGCAAACCCAGAGGGCUGAUGAGUGCACCGAGCGGGUCAGUGCGGGGAGGGGGGGAGGGCGGUGGUAUUAGAGACGUGAUGUCAUGGAAAGCACUGGGAGGCGCCUGUGCACACAGCCGCCAACAGCCCUUCUGCUGGUCGAGAGGGUGAACUGACUUCAAGCUCAUGCACUCCCUCCUCGCUGACCCGAGCCCCUCGGUCUGUAGCAGAAAUAACGUACUUUGCUGGAGGUUUGCAGACCGCUGGCCUUGAAGGUGAAGGACGACGACAAGGCCCAACCACGUUGAAAAACGGCUGAGGAGAAUGCCAGCCCGUCGUUCAGGGUCACCUCGACCUACGAGUGACCCCCUGGGCACCCGCUCCUGCACGCAGCCCCCUCCCUGUUCCCGCGCCUUCCUCUUCCCAACCCUCCGGCUCGUCCUGGACAAGGGAGGCAGUCGCGGAGGCACGAGCCCACCAUCCUCCCAGGUGGCCGGCUUCCCGGCUGCAGCAAACCUGUCCUUUCCUCUCCCAACGUCACUCACUGUCUCUCGGGUGCUGACUUUCUGGUGGCGAGCAGCAGAACCUGAGUUCGGAACCGCUUCUCUGUCCGAUGACCAGACGGAGGUCCAGCGUCAGCCGCUGUGACUUCUAUCCCUCUGCGGGGAGGGUCCUGGCCGAGCACCUGGGGGUCGGGCCCCGACCCCACCCGGCCGCCCGUGGGACCUCGUGCUCCCCUGCUCCCAGCAGCUGCUGGGAUUCAUUCAAAAACAGCCACCGCUGGUUUGGCUCACGCAUCUGGAGGCCUCCUGUGCUGGUGACCGCGGCUCCCAGGGUUGGUCCUCAGUGACUGCACUGAGCAGACAAGCAAACGGAGACAUGAGGAACCGCGUGACAAGCCAACGGAGACACCAGGAACCGUGUGCACGGGGGCAGAAGCCGCAGGAGCCACUAAGAGGCUGGUGACGUGCCUGGCACCCCAGCUAGGUGUGACUUCCUUCGUUUAUAUUUUUCAGUAUUUCCCAGAACUUCUACAAAGCACAUCCGUAACUUGAGUCAUCGGAAAAUUAUUUUCCAGGAGAAAGUACGCUUUAAAAAUAGAUGGUAAACGUUUCUUGCCCUGAAUCCAAAGCACUCGGCUAUUAAGCUAUUAAAAUCUCUGUCCUGCAAAGAGGCAAACUGUCUGUGAUUCCAAAGUUCACUCUACAUAAAGGUGACAAAAAUACCGUGUGACAGAUCAAAGGAAAUCCGAAAGGCUCUCUCUGGUGCGUCGAUGGAAACUGGAGCGCUCCUAGGCCUCCGUUGUGAGGGAGAGACGGUUAAAAGGCACAAUCACAUUAAACCUACAAGCAGGGUUCUUUCCGCACACGGGCGUCGCUGUGCGUCCUUCUGUGAUUUCUGUGAUUUUCUGGGCCGUGACGGCGGAGGCCACGCCGGCCUGGACCGCGAGGCUUUGGCCACAGGCAGUGCGGACAGCCGGCUGCGCCGUGACUUGUGUGCAAACCAGCUGACUGUGACAUGCCCUUGUGUGAAGGCUGCGUAGGAGUUCACGGGCGUCUCCCUGGAGCCACAAGGGGACAAGGGGCGUCCCUGUUUCUGCCCAGGGAGGGCGGGGGACUCUGAGGGAUUCCUAGUGUAGACCAAGUGAGUGUGCCGGCCGCCCUCAUUCCCCAGGCAGGGACCGCAAUUUUCCAACGGCAGACGCUGGGCUUUAGUGCGCCUGGUCACCUCUGGCGGAGUUUGUAAAAAGUGUGCAUUGCCAGCUCGGGGCUGGGAAGUUCUGGCUCCGGGUUGGAGGCCGGGCUUCUGAAUGUGCACUUGGUAACGAGCCUCCGGAGGGGGUGUCUGAGAACUUCUCUGCACCAUUCUUGCAACGUAAGCUCUGUUCUCAUCGUCACAUUCAGACUCAGUCACACUUCUCUUCCUAAAAUUUAAGAGGUCAAGGGGCGCCCGGGGGGCUCCGUCGGUUCAGCGUCCGACUUCGGCUCGGGUCACGAUCUCACGGUUUGCGGGUCCGAGCGCCGCGUCGGGCUCUGUGCUGGCAGCUCGGAGCCUGGAGCCUGCU